UGGCUUCAAAACACCACGUGGCUUUUGGAUCUAUUUAUCCAAUAAUAAUAUAAUACAAUAAUACUUUAUUUUCCCAUUUAUAUGAUAUAACUAUUACCAGCGGUUUUACCCGCCUGGUUAAAGAAAAAGUGUCAAUUAAUAUUACUUAAGUGCUCGUAUUUUUUCUAAAGCUAAUAAAACAGUUUCCAGUGGGAAUGAGAAGUUUUUUCGUGGUAAAAGGUAGCUUACGUCACAUUCUUGACCUGAAACUAUCACUUUUAAAAUAUCACGUCAAUCUGUUGCUUCGUUACAACGUAAAAAAAAAGAAUAAACAACACGCACAAGCAAACAAAAGCAAUAUUAGAAGGAAAGAGAAGUCGAGGAAGAUUGCCAACCAGGUGGACGGACAUUAUCAAGGAGGCCACAAACACCAGCGUCCCGGGCGCCAUUAAGCAGGCCGAAUGCAGGCAACAUUGGAGGAAGCUGGUGCAAAAACUGGACCAAGGUGGUCACGACCCUCAGUAAUGAGGAAACGACAAAGAAGAAGAAGAAUAUUAAAUUUA